rnacentral:tRNA from 1 species
GGAUGUAGCUCAGUGGUAGAGUGCUUGCCUAGCACAUGCCAGGCCCUGGGUUGGAUCCCCAGCACCA